AGAUAGUCUCAAAUCCAGGAGAUGGUCAGUGGAUAUGUGGAGAGAAAACAACGAAGAGAAAACAAUAUAGUGUUGUUUUCUCUUGGUUCUUUUCUCACCACAUAUCCACUGACCAUCUCCUGGACUCAAGACUGUCAUUUCCAU